rnacentral:rRNA from 1 species
UACAGAGGUGGCAAGCGUUGUUCGGAAUUACUGGGCGUAAAGGGCGCGUAGGCGGCCAUCUAAGUCAGACGUGAAAUCCCCCGGCUUAACCUGGGAACUGCGUCUGAUACUGGACGGCUUGAGUAUGGGAGAGGGAUGUAGAAUUCCAGGUGUAGCGGUGAAAUGCGUAGAUAUCAGGAGGAACACCGGUGGCGAAGGCGGGUCUCUGGGCCGAUACUGACGCUGAGGAGCGAAAGCGUGGGGAGCGAACAGG